UACGAAGGGGGCUAGCGUUGCUCGGAAUACUGGGCGUAAAGCGCACGUAGGCGGCCUCUUAAGUCAGGGGUGAAAUCCUGGAGCUCAACUCCAGAACUGCCCUUGAUACUGAGGAGCUCGAGUCCGGAAGAGGUGAGUGGAAUUCCUAGUGUAGAGGUGAAAUUCGUAGAUAUUAGGAAGAACACCAGUGGCGAAGGCGGCUCACUGGUCCGGUACUGACGCUGAGGUGCGAAAGCGUGGGGAGCAAAGCAGG
rnacentral:rRNA from 1 species